UACGAAGGGGGCUAGCGUUGCUCGGAAUCACUGGGCGUAAAGCGCACGUAGGCGGAUUGUUAAGUCAGGGGUGAAAUCCUGGAGCUCAACUCCAGAACUGCCUUUGAUACUGAAGAUCUUGAGUUCGGGAGAGGUGAGUGGAACUGCGAGUGUAGAGGGUGAAAUUCGUAGAUAUUCGCAAGACACCAGUGGCGAAGGCGACAUCGCCUG
rnacentral:rRNA from 1 species